CGGCAGACGGGUUAGUAACGCGCUGGUAAACGUGCCCUUCUCUACGGAAUAGCCUCUGGAAACGGAGAGUAAUACCGUAUACGCCCUUUGGGGGAAAGAUUUAUCGGAGAAGGAUCGGCCCGCGUUAGAUUAGGUAGUUGGUGGGGUAACGGCCUACCAAGCCUACGAUCUAUAGCUGGUUUUAGAGGAUGAUCAGCAACACUGGGACUGAGACACGGCCCAGACUCCUACGGGAGGCAGCAGUGGGGAAUCUUAGACAAUGGGGGCAACCCUGAUCUAGCCAUGCCGCGUGAGUGAUGAAGGCCUUAGGGUCGUAAAGCUCUUUCGCCUGUGAUGAUAAUGACAGUAGCAGGUAAAGAAACCCCGGCUAACUCCAUGCCAGCAGCCGCGGUAAUACGGAGGGGGUUAGCGUUGUUCGGAAUUACUGGGCGUAAAGCGCGCGUAGGCGGAUUAGAAAGUUGGGGGUGAAAUCCCGGGGCUCAACCCCGGAACUGCCUCCAAAACUGCUAGUCUAGAGUUCGAGAGAGGUGAGUGGAAUUCCGAGUGUAGAGGUGAAAUUCGUAGAGAUCGGAAGGAACACCAGUGGCGAAGGCGGCUCACUGGCUCGAUACUGACACUGAGGUGCGAAAGUGUGGGGAGCAAACAGGAUUAGAUACCCUGGUAG
rnacentral:rRNA from 1 species